ensembl:lncRNA
GUUCUCUCAUACUGCUACUACAUUGGUGAGGUACUUUGUUUCUGUAUUUCUAUGAUGUGGUGCAGCAUACUUUGCAUACCGUGUAUACAGUACAUGUAAACACACAUACGUGUGCCAGUAUUUUGUCCCCUCUGAGCCUCCGUAGCUUGACGUCCUCCCACAGCAGUGAACAAACAUCAGGCUGUCGGACGUGUCCUCUCUCUUUCAGACGUGUCCUCUCUCUCUCAGGUGAGUCCCUCUCUCUUUCAGACGUGUCCUCUGUCUGUCGGACGUGUCCUCUCUCUUUCAGACGUGUCCUCUCUCUCUCAGAUGAGUCCCUCUCUCUUUCAGACGUGUCCUCUGUCUGUCGGACGUGUCCUCUCUCUUUCAGACGUGUCCUCUCUCUCUCAGAUGAGUCCCUCUCUCUUUCAGACGUGUCCUCUCUCUCUCUCAGACGUGUCCUCUCUCUUUCAGACGUGUCCUCUCUCUCUCAGACGUGUCCUCUCUCUCUCAGACGUGUCCUCUGUCUGUCGGACGUGUCCUCUCUCUCUCAGACGUGUCCUCUCUCUCUCAGACGUGUCCUCUCUCUCUCAGAUAUGUUCUCAUUGGCCGUCAUCUCGCACCAUCUCUGGUCCUCAGCUUGCCAACAAAUCCGGUGCUCCAUGGCAACUGUUGUCUCCGGGAGCAAGACCUCCAGGUGAGAUCAGGAAUCAGGAAACAUUCAUCACCAAGAUACGUCAGACAUACAAGGAAUUUGACUUUGCGGUUGGUGCAAGACAAUGGACAACAAGACAGAUAAGACAACAUAGUGCAGGAGGAAUAAAAUAAAAUAGAACAAAAUAUAAGGCCAUUGGCUAGAGGGAUACAGAAUAAACCAUUUAAAAAUAAAGGAAUAAAGUUAAAAAUACAACAGAUAAUAAUACUCCACUCAACUGUGUUGUGAGUGUAAGGGACACGUGUGCAGAGUGAAGGGAGUGAGUGGAUGUCAGUCAGUCAGUGGGGGACCGGCUCUGUUGAUGAGGUCUUAGUCCUGAUGGACCUCAGCCUCCUGCCAGAUGGAAGGGCCACAAACAGGUUUGGUCCGGGGUGAGAGGGGUCGGCUACCAUCUUUGUAGCUGCUUCAGAUCUGAUCCUGGUCUAAAUAAGAUCUGAUCUUGGUCUCUUUGGGGAUAUGAUCCUGGUCUAUUUUAGAUCUGAUCCUGGUCUAAAUAAGAUCUGAUCUUGGUCUCUUUGGGGAUAUGAUCCUGGUCUAAAUAAGAUCUGAUCUUGGUCUCUUUGGGGAUAUGAUCCUGGUCUAUUUUAGAUCUGAUCCUGGUCUAAAUAAGAUCUGAUCUUGGUCUUUUUGGGGAUAUGAUCUUGGUCUAUUUUAGAUCUGAUCCUGGUCUAAAUAAGAUCUGAUCUUGGUCUCUUUUUGGGGUAUGAUCCUGGUCUAUUUUAGAUCUGAUCCUGUUCUAUGUUCUCAGGUUGGUGAGGGAGCGUCUGAAGCUCCAGGUGGAGGAGAUGAAGGGUCCCUUCUCAGGGUUCAGACCUGGUCUCGUGGUCUUACAGGUGGGAGACAGAGACGAUUCAAACCUCUACAUCAGCUCCAAGCUACGAGCUGCAGCUGAGGUGAGGACCAAUCAGACCACGGCUCCUUUCAUUGAUCCAUCAACGGGUGGCUCAUCAUCAUCAUCAUCAUCAUCAUCAUCAUCAUCGCUACAGAGAAUGUUUUUCAAUUAACUCUUUUCUCAUCUGCAGAUUGGAAUCGAAGCGAAACAUCUGAGAUUACCGAAAACCACAACGCAGGAAGAGGUCAGUGACACUCCUCCACCCGUGAACCUCCACCUGUUAACCUCCACCUGUGAACCUCCACCCGUUAGCC